UACUAACAUUUCUAGGUUGAGGGGCUGGAAUGUUACACCUCUCUCUACCACUUGUCUUCAGUUUCUUUAUCACUUGUCCUCUUUCUUAGUGUCAAGUUCAGGACAAUAGGUGUUGCUUUCUGACAGAUCCUUUCCUUUGUCUCAAUACAGAAGUUUUCAUGGGCUGAGCUGCUGAGUUCAGCCUGGGAACUGAGGCCAACAAGGGAGUCUCCUCGGCACACAAGUUUGAAAGAAGUCCUGGUGACUUCAAGCUCAGAACCAUGGACGGCAGGGCUCCCUCUGGAUGUGGAAUUCUCCGUCCCUUUCCAGGGAGGGAACAAAGCCCACAGCACCGAGACUCCUUCAGGGUGAGCAAAGGCCUGGAAACCUGUAUGCAGUUAAAGAAAAGGAAAGAAAGAGAUAAUCAGUGCAUGCAGUUGUCAGCUGGCUGGGACCUGAGGAGAGUCACUUGUGGAGGCAACUGGUCUUUAUCCCUAUUGUCCGGUACAAGGCAGGCAUUAAUCCUGUGAUCCUUAUCUGAAGCUCAGGUUUGAUUUUAUUCUUUUCUUAAGGACCUAGUGUUAUCCCCAAGCUUGUAAUAAUAGUUUAAUUGUUACAGCCAAUAUCUCACCUUCAGAAAUAAGAUGCUUAGGAAACCAAGACAAGGAACUGUGUGUUGCAAACAGCAUCACCCUGGAGAAGAGGUGGCAGGAGGUGACCUACAGAAAAUGGAGCAAUAGCCUAGAGCAAGAAACACAGAACAAAAGAGAAAUGAGGGGUUAGGCAACCUCCUGGAGCACCACCGGGACAAGCACAUAUUCAGGGGCCUCCUAACAGACUCGACUUCCAGCAUCCUCAGAUGGGGCUAGACACGUUACAUAGACAUUCAAGAGCAGAGAACUCAGGGACUUCUGAUUUAUAUCAAGAAAUGCAUACACAGCAGACGUGUGCCUGUGGAGUGGAAUUCUGGAAAAGCUCACAGCCCAGAACAUAAUGCAGACUCCCCCAGCCACAGCACCUUCCAAUCCUGAGAAGAGUGCUGAUUCUCCAUCUGAGCACCCAUUCUCCUGCAACAUCAGGGGAGAGGAUUUCACCUAAGGGUCAGACCAGCGUCUCCAAACCCAGCUCCCCACCUUUGCCUGUUGGUGGCACUUGUGGGAGAAGGGGAGAUGAUAUGAAAAGAGCCACAACAGGAGUCACCUGGACAGGGUGGAGCUUGAUGGAAACUGACAUUUGUGCCCAUUGGAGGCAAAUGUAGAAUUUGGUAUCUUCCGUAGCGUCAGGCACAUGAAACUCUCCAGUGCCCAUGACUUUUGACAGUGACUUCAGAGCACAUCUGGGAGACCCAUGUGGCCCAGGCUCCACACAGAGGAUACAGAGGACCAACUGUAUACCACUUCAUGUGAUGUUGGAGUGCUGUUCUGCACGCCUAACUUUAUGGCUUGGUGGAUCAGACAAUGCCCAAUGUAUGAUGGAAAGCUCAGGUUGCAGGGUAGCUAGGUGGCCCAUGCUUGAGCAGUCUCCACUAAGUCCCAGGAGCAAGCCAAAACUGCUUCUGAAAAGGAGAGUAGUUAUCAGCGGAAGAUGGCAUGCUCCACAGUUCUAGGGUCCACACUGAUUUGCCUGUAGAGGCCUGCCAGUGGCUUCAGAUAGUAUCCCUAUCUGCCACUGACACUUCAAGCACCAUUGGAUCUCCUGAAACAUAAAGCCCAAGUGGGAGAGCAGCUUGCACAGCAGCCUGGACCUGUUGCAGAGCCUGCUUUUAUCCUGGGCUUAAAACUAGCAGCUUUUUGGGUCACUUGGCAAAUAGGUCAGAGAGUAACACACUCAAUUGAGGAAUAUGUUGCCUCUAAAAUCCAAAGAGGGCCUAAUGGUGUUAUGCCUCUUUUUUUGGUUGUACAAGGGGCUAGAUGCAACAACUUAUUCUUCACUUUAGAAGGGAUAUCUCGACCACUAGACUCCUAGAAAUUUCGCUGAAGUGAAAGGCCCUUGAAUUUUUAUAGGAUUUAUUUUCCACCCUCUGACAUGCAAAUGUCUUAGUAGUAAGUCUAGAAUAGUUGCUACUUCUUACUGCUUCCAGUCAGCAUUAUGUCAUCAAUGUAAUGGACCAGUGCGAUUGAUAUAGAAGGGAAAGGCAAUUAAGAUCCCUUCAGAUUAAAUUAUGACAUAGGGCUGGAGAGUUGGCAUACACCUGAGGUAGGACAACGAAGGUGUAUUGCGAGCUUGCCACCUGAAACCAAACUGUUUCUGGUGGUCUCUACUAACAGACAUCAGGAAAAAAAGUAUCUGCCAGAUCAGUAAGUGCAUACCAGGUACCAGGGGAUGUAUUAAUUUACUCAAGCUAUGAAACCACAUUUGGAACAGCAGCUGAAAUUGAUGUCCCCACCUGAUUAAGUUUCCAGUAAUUUACUCUCAUUCUCCAAGAUCUAUCUGUUUUCUUCACAGGCUAAAUAGGGGAGUAGAAUGGGAAUGUGAUAAAAAGUACCACCUCUGCAUCCUUCAAGUCCUUGAUGGUGGUACUAAUCUCUGCAAGCUCUACAAGAAUGCAGUAUUGUUUUUGGUUUGCUGUUUUUCUAGAUAGAGGCAGGUAAGUGGCUUCCACUUUAUAGCGUAAUUGCCCUCACUCUUCAGGUCAGGAAACCAGUGUAGGGAUUCUGCUAAUUGUUGAGUAUGUCUAUUCCAAUUAUUCUGCAGCUACAGAGAUAACAAGACGACCCACUGCAAGACAGACCUAAACUAAAACUCCAUUGAUCACCUAACCUCCCUAAGCCCCUACUCUCACUUGUGAACCAGAGUGAUGCAUUAGUUUUCCUGGGGUACCCUGAGUCUGAGUUCAGAACCAAUGUCCAGUAAUUCCCCCAAAGUCUGAUUAUUCCCUUUUCCCCAAUGCACAGUCAACUUGGUAAAGUGCUAUAGGUCCCUUUGGGGAAGGCUGAGAGAAAAAUGAACAGUAUACAAUUUUGGUAAUGCAGUGGGGACACAGCCUCCUCAUUAUUUAAGGAGAUAUGGGUCUGCAAACUGGCCCAAGUCUUGGAAUUGAUUCAGGAGCUGUGACUCCGUUUUUUUGAUUCGAGUUAGACUUUUAUUCACUUGAUUCUUCUUUUUAUACAGAACAGAUAAGAAUUUAGUAGGCUUUCCAUCUCUUUUAUUUCUAUGGAUACUAUGACCAGCUAGCUAAUGCCAUAAGUCUCUGUAAAUCGGACUUUCUAACUACAGUUUUGACUUUACUGUCCAUUACAGUAACCAUGUUCACCUUGUCUUUGGUGAUUAAAUGCUGCCACUUGGCCCCUGCCAUCCUGGGAUCCAGUUACUCUCCUUAUACUUAAGAAUCCCAUUCAGUGGCAGCAGUUCCCACUGUAAUUUCUGACCUAUACAGAAGAGCAACCACAGAGCUCUUUAAAAAUAUUGGAACUCCCUCACAAAUUUAUUUCUCAUAGUCAUAACAGAAAGUGUGUCCUGAGCUAGAUGUGGUAGCUCACACCUAUAAUCCCAGCACCUUGGGUGGCCAAGGUAGGAGAAUCGCUUGAGCUCAGGAGUUUGAAGCCUGCUUGGGCAACGUAGCAAGACCUUGCCUCUAUAAAAAUUUUUAAAAUUAGCCAGGUAUGAUGGUGCAUAUAGUCCCAGCUACUCAGGAGGCUGAGGCAGGAGGGUCUCUUGAGCCCAGGAGUUUGAGGGUACAGUGUGCUAUGGUCACACCACUGCACUCCAGCCUGGGCAAUAGAGUGAGCCCUGACUCUAAAAAAUAAUAAUAAAUAGAAAAAGAAAGCAUGUCCUCUUGUUAAAGAUUUUUCAAUGACACUUGUUCAAGGAUGGUAAGGCUGACUUUUUCAAGAUCAUCAGAAUAGAUACAGGGACCAAUGCAAUAGCAUUUUACAGCGAGGGAGAGAGAUUGGGCUCAACUCUGAAUACAGUUUGGGUAAGUGGGAAUUUAUUGCCAAGGAGUAGGGUGGGGGUCAGUGGAUUGAAAAUUACUAAGAGGAAACUUCAAGAGUAAGGAAAGAUUCUGGCUUAACUGACCUAACAGGAUUCUUGCUGAAAACAGGCUGGGGUGUUGAGACACUACCUGGGAGAUGGUGGAGGAUGAAGCCCUGAUCAGAUAUGGAGGAUGAUCAGAUAUUGAGCAUGGAGGUU
rnacentral:lncRNA from 1 species